rfam:Mangrovibacter sp. MFB070 Contig-045, whole genome shotgun sequence.
AACCCCCUGAAAUCUGCACAUGAAACUUGGCGGAAUCAUCAGAUGUUCAGGGGGCCCAAAGCAGGCGCGUUGCCUGCAAAGGAUUAUAACGCAUGUUCAACAUAACACAAUAUACCCCCGCCAUAAGU